rfam:Schistosoma mansoni strain Puerto Rico chromosome 4, complete genome
AUCCAGCUGACGAGUCCCAAUUACGACGAAACCUGCGUCUUAGAU